rnacentral:rRNA from 1 species
GACGAACGCUGGCGGCGUGCUUAACACAUGCCAGUCGAACGGAAAGGCCCUGCUUUUGUGGGGUGCUCGAGUGGCGAACGGGUGAGUAACCCGUGAGUAACCUGCCCUUGACUUUGGGAUAACUUCAGGAAACUGGGGCUAAUACCGGAUAGGAGCUCCUGCUGCAUGGUGGGGGUUGGAACGUUUAGGCGGUUGGGGAUGGACUCGCGGCUUAUCAGCUUGUUGGUGGGGUAGUGGCUUACCAAGGCUUUGACGGGUAGCCGGCCUGAGAGGGUGACCAGCCACCUUGGGACUGAGAUACGGCGCAGACUCCUACGGGAGGCAGCAGUGGGGAAUAUUGCACAAUGGGCGGAAGCCUGAUGCAGCAACGCCGCGUGCGGGAUGACGGCCUUCGGGUUGUAAACCGCUGUCGCCUGUGACGAAGCGUGAGUGACGGUAAUGGGUAAAGAAGCACCGGCUAACUACGUG